AUGCCCAGCUGGCUGCUAAAAAAGAAAAAAAGAAAAAGAGAAAAAAAUAGCGGGGGCCGGCUGCCCGCGCGGAGCCUGCAAGAAAAGUCAGUGGCCGGGUGUUUAAACAGAAAGAAGAAGAAAAAUAGUCCGGCUGCUCGCGUGAUCCAUCCGGCUGUUAAAAAGAAAAUCGUCCGGCUGCAGACGAGAAAUGAAGCAGAAGAAGAAGUGUCCGUCCGGCUGCUCACAGUCGGGCAAAGAGAAAAAGAAAAAUGUCCGUCCGUCCGUCUGCUUCGCCACUCGGACGACAAGACGCAACCCGGCCUGCCGGCCCGCUUCAACGCCUAG
rnacentral:rRNA from 1 species